rnacentral:lncRNA from 1 species
CGAGACUUUACGCAGUAAUAUUUUUUAAAGUAGUUUUUUUUAUAAAUAAUUAAACAUAAAUAGGCCAUUUUUUCUUAGUUCUGCUUCCAGCCCGGUAAAUACACGGACCGGCUCUGCUUACCUUGAUCAAACGUCUUCCUGGUGUCACUCCACAGAUCCAGAGAAGCACCCUAUAUUCCUAUGCAUGUGAUCGUCCUCAUCGAGAUGCAAAUCAAUUCUCUUUUUUUUUAAUCAUGAGAAACCAGUAAUCUUAAUUUUUAUGUUUAUUAUUAAUCCCUUUAAUCUUAGUUUUUAUGUUUAUUAUUAAUCCCUUCAAGAUAACAUUAAUGAGAGUGUCCUAAUAUAUUUAUUUUAAUUUUUAACGGUAACCAGCAGAACAUUUAUUAAAUAUUGUAUAGUAUUUUUUCCACAGAAUAUUUUUAAAAUAGUAUAUAAAGUUUUUUUUUUUGGGUCUAAAUGUUAAGAAUAGUAGUAGUAGUAGUAGUAUAUAAAGUUCCGUACUAAUACCCUUAAUUCAUUUAAAUGGAAGAAAAUAAUAAUAUAAUUUAUUA